UACGAAGGGGGCUAGCGUUGCUCGGAAUUAUUGGGCGUAAAGGGCGCGUAGGCGGUCAGCUUAGUCAGAGGUUAAAGCCCAGGGCUCAACCUUGGAAUCGCCUUUGAUACUGGCUGUCUUGAGUACGGGAGAGGUGUGUGGAACUCCGAGUGUAGAGGUGAAAUCCGUAGAUAUUCGGAAGAACACCAGUGGCGAAGGCGACACACUGGCCCGUUACUGACGCUGAGGCGCGAAAGCGUGGGGAGCAAACAGG
rnacentral:rRNA from 1 species